rnacentral:sRNA from 1 species
GGUUUUGAAUCGUAUAACAAGGAAGCACUACUUUACUCUUCGCGAUCUCGUUGAGGUUCUAGUUUUAUAUUCAAUCAUACACAUGACAUCUACUCAUAUUUCACUCCGAAAUGCUAACCCAGAUUCUUUUUGCUCUUCAAAGCUUUGAUGGUGUAGCCUAAGUCCGUAUGAUUUUUGGUUUUGGAUCUUCUAACAUGGAAAGAUAAAUUUAGGUUCAUACCCCUGGUUGUGGUUUUAGCCCUAAAACUCAAUCAUUCACCUAUCAUCUUGAGAUAUUUGAUUCCAAAACGA